rnacentral:rRNA from 1 species
AUUGAACGCUGGCGGCAGGCCUAACACAUGCAAGUCGAGCGAGCGGCGGACGGGUGAGUAAUGCCUGGGAAUUGCCCAGUCGAGGGGGAUAACAGUUGGAAACGACUGCUAAUACCGCAUACGAUUGGAUUGCCCAGGUGGGAUUAGCUAGUUGGUGAGGUAAUGGCUCACCAAGGCGACGAUCCCUAGCUGGUCUGGGAGGAGAUUAUCCCCCCCUGGAACUGAGACACGGUCCACACUCCUGCUUUACUCCUCCUUUUCCCCUAUUCCAAUCUUAUCGAAACCCUGAUUCAGCCAUGCCGCGUGUGUGAAAACUCCCUUCAGUUUAUCAUGCACUUUCAGCGAGGAGGCGUUACUCGCAGAAGAAGCACCGGCUAACUCCGUGCCAGCAGCCGCGGUAAUUC